rnacentral:rRNA from 1 species
UACGGAGGAUGCGAGCGUUAUCCGGAUUUAUUGGGUUUAAAGGGUGCGCAGGCGGUCUGUUAAGUCAGCGGUCAAAGCCCGGGGCUCAACCCCGGCCCGCCGUUGAAACUGGCAGUCUCGAGUUGGAGAGAAGUAUGCGGAAUGCGCGGUAUAGCGGUGAAAUGCAUAGAUAUCGCGCAGAACUCCGAUUGCGAAGGCAGCAUGCCGGCUCCACACUGACGCUGAGGCACGAAAGCGUGGGUAUCGAACAGG